UUGUGAGGACUUAGGCAGCUGGACCUCCACGGUUCCUCCCAGAGAGCCAAAGCACUGGGUCGUGAUGUGUGGCUGUGUGGCGUCGCAGAAGGUCUUCACACCUGGAGGUUUACAGAGGAGAAUAAAACAAUACAGGAGAUAUAGCUCACUGAGAUUCACAGUUCUACUCUCACUUUUGCUACAACAAAUCUCUAUAAGAGCUAUGAAGUCAGAGGUUAAUGUCAAAAUGAUCCUUAAUGACCUUAAUGAAUCCUUAAUGAUGAUGAGAGGGAAACAGCAGCUAAAAACCUUUUUUCCUCUUAUCUGUAACCCUGGUUACCAAUAAUUAACUACUGCUACUGAAAUAAGAUAUAGUUCCUUACCUUGAAUGGUUAAAUUACAUUUUGUAUUUGCUACUUCCCUUCCAGCUGCAUCGUGUAGUUCCAUAGAGUAUGUACCGUUGUCUGACCAGUCGAUGUCCUUUAUAGCAAAUAUUCCAGUACUGAUAUUAAAUGAAUAUCGAAAGUUUGUUGUCUCACUGCUCUUGGACAAAACCACAACAUUGUCUUUCUUCAGUUUGUAGAUAUCAUCUUGUGAGGUCUUAGCAAGCAGCUGGACCUUCACGGUUCCUCCCAGAGAGCCAAAGCACUGGGUCGGGAUGUGUGGCUGUGUAGCGUUGCAGAAGGUCUUCACACCUGGAGGUUUACAGAGGAGAAUAAGAUCUACUCUCACUUUUAUGAUGAAUAAAACAUGUGCCAUUGCAGAGAGACGACAUAGUACAACUAAAUGAUGAAUGUUGACACAUAAUUUUUUCUUAUAUUGUUAGAUCUGAUUGACAUAAAUUCACCAUGGUUUUCAUGUUAAUUAAAGUACACUAAAUCUAAUUAAUCCUCUAUGUUUAAUCUGCAGUUUCCCUCUGAUCUGUAAUCCUGUUAACAAUUAUUAGACCACCACGUAGCAAAUGUGUAAUAUUGAUAUAGUUACUCACCCUGAAUGGAUAAAAGUUUAGUUGCUAUUUCAACACCAUUAUGUGCUGCAAGUGAAUAUGCAUCAUAGUCUGUCUUCUUGAGUCCCUCUAUGGUAAAGACGCCAGUACUGACGUUAAAUGAAUAUCGGGGGUCUGUUAUCUUGAUUUCGCCCUCAACUAUCGGGACCUUGUUCUUCUUCAGUGUGUAGGAAUGCUCAUGUGGGGAGUGAGUAGGCAGCAGGACCUCAACGGUUCCUCCCAGAGAGCCAAAGCACUGGGUCGUGAUGUGUGGCUGUGUGGCGUCGCAGAAGGUCUUCACACCUGGAGGUUUACAGAGGAGAGAGUAAAACAAUACAGGAGAUAUAUCUCACUCAGAUUCACAGACU
ensembl:lncRNA